UACGGUGCAUCAUGAAUAGUAACUAACUUCCACAAGGGCUCAUGGCAUCAAAAUGGUCUACGUUGCUACUUCUGAGGUCCCGAAUGAACGGCAGUGAAUAAAUAUUGCCGAGUCUUAAUGGAAAGUCAUGUCUUACCCAAGUCGCAUGCUUUUCACCAGAAAGAAAAGUGGAAGGCACAUGUCAGUGCCAACAGCACCAUCUUCUGUCUGCAGAGGUUAUGCAGCCUUCACUCACGCUUCCCUGAGUCCUCCAGAGAUGGGGCCGGUUGAGACUCCUGGAUCUACUGCUGGAUGUUGAGCUCUUCCUUUCGCUAGUGCUUUCGCUUCUACCCAACUUGUUCAGCUUCAUCUAAACUUAGAAGAUAUGUACACAGGUCCCACUCACGAAGAGCUCCAAGCAUGGCAUCCACCCAGCAGGAAGCUGUGUCCUCUGCAUCCCCUGCAGCCUCUCUGUCCACAGAAACCAACGUGGCUUCCCAGACAGAGCUCCCAGGGAACAUGCAGCCACUCAGGUGUAGGGUUGCAGAGAGUGCCUGAACUCUGGAACUCAAUGGACAAGCAAAUGUGGAUGAAGGUCCAUCCAGGUUGGAGGGGUCACUUAUGGUCACUUUCGUCAAGAAAAACAGAAAGGCAGUUGUUAGAGAAACACAGAAUAUAUCAAUCUGAAAGAGGAUCACCAGGAUCACUGAGUCCAACUGCCAGCUCCAAACAGAAACACCCAAAACUCAAACCCUAUGUCUGAGAGAAUUGCUCAAAUGCUCCUUGAACUCUAGCAGCCUGGGGCCAUGGCCACUUCCCUGGGGACCACUCCUGCUGCAGUUGUUAACAUACUGUUAAUACUAAGCAUAAAUUUUGCUAUUUAUGUACCAACUAGCUCAUUACAUAUUAAUGAAUGCCUUCUGGGUGUAUUCAGUGCUAGUCAGACAGGGAUAAUCUUUCUUCCCAUGACCCCUACUGUUCCUUUCUUUUUCUUGACUUCAUAUCUACCUUCCUGAUUUUUUUUCCCUUUAGCUUUCUGCAUCACGUUCACAUACUCCCUAGUCUAACCUCUCAUGAGCUGAAUUCCUCAUCCACUUGUCUGAUCUGACAAUCUGCAGUAGUGCAGUUCAAAUGUAAAUGCUGUGUUUCAGUUGAUAAGAUUUUGCACCCGUUGUGAUAAAAAUAAAGGCAAGGUGGAAUUCAGACAAU
rnacentral:lncRNA from 7 species